AUUGAACGCUGGCGGCAUGCCUUACACAUGCAAGUCGAACGGCAGCACGGGAGCAAUCCUGGUGGCGAGUGGCGAACGGGUGAGUAAUAUAUCGGAACGUGCCCAGUCGUGGGGGAUAACGCAGCGAAAGCUGUGCUAAUACCGCAUACGAUCUAUGGAUGAAAGCGGGGGACCGUAAGGCCUCGCGCGAUUGGAGCGGCCGAUGUCAGAUUAGGUAGUUGGUGGGGUAAAGGCUCACCAAGCCAACGAUCUGUAGCUGGUCUGAGAGGACGACCAGCCACACUGGGACUGAGACACGGCCCAGACUCCUACGGGAGGCAGCAGUGGGGAAUUUUGGACAAUGGGCGCAAGCCUGAUCCAGCAAUGCCGCGUGCAGGAAGAAGGCCUUCGGGUUGUAAACUGCUUUUGUACGGAACGAAAAGGUUUGGGUUAAUACCCUGGGCCGAUGACGGUACCGUAAGAAUAAGCACCGGCUAACUACGUGCCAGCCGCCGCCGUAA
rnacentral:rRNA from 1 species